AGAACGAACGCUGGCGGCAGGCCUAAUACAUGCAAGUCGAACGCACUCUUCGGAGUGAGUGGCAGACGGGUGAGUAACGCGUGGGAACCUUCCUUGCAGUACGGAAUAACUCCGGGAAACCGGCGCUAAUACCGUAUACGUCCUUCGGGAGAAAGAUUUAUCGCUGCAAGAUGGGCCCGCGUCGGAUUAGCUAGUUGGUGAGGUAAUGGCUCACCAAGCUUCGAUCCGUAGCUGGUCUGAGAGGAUGAUCAGCCAUACUGGGACUGAGACACGGGCCCAGACUCCUACGGGAGGCAGCAGUAGGGAAUAGUGGACAAGUGGGCGACAAGCCUGAUCCCAGCCAUCGCCGGCGUGGACGUGAAAGGAA
rnacentral:rRNA from 1 species